GACGGAGGAUGCAAGUGUUAUCCGGAAUCGCUGGGCGUAAAGCGUCUGUAGGUGGUUCGAAAAGUCCACUGUUAAAAAUUGAGGCUUAACUUCAAAGAUGCCGUGGAAACUUUCAAACUAGAGUAUGGUAGGGGUAGAGGGAAUUUCCAGUGGAGCGGUGAAAUGCGUAGAUAUUGGAAAGACCACCGAUGGCGAAGGCACUCUACUGGGCCAUUACUGACACUGAGAGACGAAAGCUAGGGGAGCAAAUGGG
rnacentral:rRNA from 1 species